CGCGAAAACUGAAAAUUUUCAAACUGAAACUGACAGUCGGAUGGGAGAGCGUCGAUUGGGCGACUGAGCUGGCGUCCGGGUGAGGGGACAGUGGUCGGGGGGUCGGGGCAAUCGACAGUGGCAUUAGCAGCCUGUGCUCAUUUCGUAUUUGAAUUCAUUCGUGAAAUGUGCGUCGCUCGGAACGCACAACAACUAAAUUUAGCUAGAGCAACAACAGCAACAUCAUCGAGCUGGCAUAAAAAGGCUAUGAACAAAUUGUACAAAAACUGUCGCCAACUGCACGCAAAAAUAUUUGUCGCGUAGCAGCGACAGCCAAAAAGUAAAAAUAUUAUAAAAAUAUAUA